UUAUUGACGCUGAGGCACGAAAGCGUGGGGAGCAAACRGGAUUAGAUACCCUGGUAGUCCACGCCGUAAACGAUGUCAACUGAGAGUCUGUGGAUUUAAUCCGUGGGUUCCGAAGCUAACGCGAUAAGUUGACCGCCUGGGGAGUACGGCCGCAAGGUUAAAACUCAAAUGAAUUGACGGGGGCCCGCACAAGCGGUGGAGCAUGUGGUUUAAUUCGAUGCAACGCGAAGAACCUUACCUACUCUUGACAUCCAGAGAAGCCAGUAGAGAUACAGGUGUGCCUUCGGGAGCUCUGAGACGGGUGCUGCAUGGCUGUCGUCAGCUCGUGUUGUGAAAUGUUGGGUUAAGUCCCGCAACGAGCGCAUCCCCUUUCCUUAGUUGCCAGCGAUUCGGUCGGGAACUCUAAGGAGACUGCCGGUGAUAAACCGGAGGAAGGUGGGGACGACGUCAAGUCAUCAUGGCCCUUACGAGUAGGGCUACACACGUGCUACAAUGGCGGAUACAGAGGGUUGCGAAGCCGCGAGGUGAAGCUAAUCUCACAAAGUCCGUCGUAGUCCGGAUCGGAGUCUGCAACUCGACUCCGUGAAGUCGGAAUCGCUAGUAAUCGUAGAUCAGAAUGCUACGGUGAAUACGUUCCCGGGCCUUGUACACACCGCCCGUCACACCAUGGGAG
rnacentral:rRNA from 1 species